rnacentral:lncRNA from 1 species
GCCGUUGGAUUGAUGGUGGCAAGCCAUUGUUGGCCAGGCGCGAAUCGGUGUGUGUGAAUUUUAUCACUUUAUAUUUUUUCAAUAGUGGUAGCAUCUCUCUUCUGUAGUAACUAGCCUUGGACCAAGAAACAGGAGCCUUCAGGAGAGGUUUCAUGGCUGCAUAGCGAGGAGGCAAGUACUCGAUGAUGUCAACGUCAUCUUUCAAUACGUUCAUGAAGUGUCGCCAGUCAAAAAUGUCUUUGAACGUGCUGUAAAAUUACAAAGAAACACUUGUUCAAAAACCAUAAUCUUACUCACAUUUGAGAAAGUGUUCUUGUUGUGUAGAACCUGGGGUCAGUCCAGAAAGAUUCAUGGUCGAGGAGAGGAAGAACAAGAGUUGCAUUCAUAAUCUUUGCUGCAGCAACCAUGUCACAUAUCUACAUUUUUCGGUAUAAAACAAAGGUAAGAAGAAAACAAGAGACCAAAGAUGUAAUAAAAAGCACUUGGGAGUUGGGACAUGUUUCACAUUGUAUCUCAUGAUCCUCAGCUCUUCAGCUUCUCCAGAUGUGAGGUUGUGGCUGCAGCCUGUAAAGGCAAGCAUAUCUUUCUCAUAGCGUAAGUGUAGAGCAAUGAAGGGUUCGCUGUUGUUUCUUAACCGGUUGACCAAAACGUUUCCAAAAUCUUCAAUCUCCUUGGAGUAACCUAAUGCUUGGUAGUUAGCACGGCAUCUCAGCCGUUGGAUUGAUGGUGGCAAGCCAUUGUUGGCCAGGCGCGAAUCGGUGUGUGUGAAUUUUAUCACUUUAUAUUUUUUCAAUAGUGGUAGCAUCUCUCUUCUGUAGUAACUAGCCUUGGACCAAGAAACAGGAGCCUUCAGGAGAGGUUUCAUGGCUGCAUAGCGAGGAGGCAAGUACUCGAUGAUGUCAACGUCAUCUUUCAAUACGUUCAUGAAGUGUCGCCAGUCAAAAAUAUCUUUGAACG